UUCCGUCCUCCGCGCCGAGAAACCAGGUGACUCCACGUCUCUCUCUCGUUCUCUACCGGCGGAAGUCUCAGCCGGUGCUGUCGAACCCUCUCCACCCACCGGAACCAGCAGAUCCACCGGACCCGACCAUUACACCUCAACCACCACCAUCGUCUUCAGUCAACACCUCUCCUCCAUAGUCUCCUUCUCUGUUCUGUGCUCGGCCGUCAUCUAUCUCC
rnacentral:lncRNA from 1 species